rnacentral:lncRNA from 1 species
AUGAGAUUAACUCAGUGCAUCUCUCCUGAGCUCCCUGUAUGCUACACACAGGAGGUGUGGGCAAGGUGGUCCUGGACAGGGCCCUGGGCUCCCAGGACAAGUGGGCUGAGCCUGGCAGGAGGAUGGGAAGGCACAGGGCGAGUCCAGGAAAGGCCCACGGGCAGCGCCAGGGUGGCUGGAGCCGUGGGGCACACGGUCAGGAGACAAGUGAGGCCACACCAGCAAGGUCCGAGGGAGAGGCUGACUGUCCGGGAAGGCGGCUCCAGGGGGAGGGGCAAGUCCCGGGGCCUCCGGGGCAGCCCGGUGAUGGGCCGUCAGGGCUGGUCUCUUCUCUCUCGGCCACAGGUUCUCCAUCUCAGGCCCCGGGGAGUGCGUCUUCGUGGAGCCCACCAGGCUGGCGUCGACGGAGUGCCUGAUGACCCGGCCCUGGGUGUGCAGCAAGACGGCCUACACGUGAGGCCCAGUGCAAAGCUCCCUGGGACCCCUUCCAGGACGGCGGCAGGCCCACAGGGACCCCUCCCUCUCCCCAGCACCCUCAGCACUUAAGACCGAGCCUCUCCCGCAGCCCAAGUUGUCAGAACUUUUCACCUGAGACUCAUCUCUUCACAUCAUCUCACCGCGUGUCAUCUAAGCCCCUAGGUGGCAGGGAUUAUGUGCUGUUGGCCUCUUUGCAGCACACAGCAUGUGCUUAAAAAAGUACAUUGUUGUAUAUGGCAGUGAGAUUGCCCCCAAAUGUCCUCUCAACUCGUGUCCCUGGUGGGGACAGCAGCGACCGGCCAUCAGCAGAGCCUUGCCUUUUUGGCCCUGGAGAGCGUGGCGUGACUUCAGAGCCACACUCUGAAGGCUCAUGAAGAAAGAUGAGCUCUGUUUUGCUUCAAUUGCGAGAGCUCCCUCACAUCCCCUGAGCGUGCACAUCCUGGGCGGGCAGUGUGGGGGUGGCCACGAGGGAGCGCUGCCUCGGCCUCUGCAUCACACAGAGCCCAGGCGAUCGUGCUUUGCUCAUCUGUUUCCCUGCCCACCAGCCCCGCAGACAUGAAAGCCCCUCGAGGCAGGGGCCCACUCGCACGCUCCUUUGUUUCUCUAGCGCCUGGUACAUACUGAAGGUGCUUAAUAAACCUGUGUUGAACUAAACUCGUCUUGACUCC